rnacentral:rRNA from 1 species
AACGAACGCUGGCGGCGUGCCUAACACAUGCAAGUCGAACGAGAAAGGGGCUUCGGUCCUGAGUAAAGUGGCGCACGGGUGAGUAACACGUAGGUAACCUGCCUCUAAGAUUGGGAUAACCUGUCGAAAGACGAGCUAAUACCGAAUGAGACCACAGUUUCCUCGGAAGCAGGGGUCAAAGGUAGCCUCUAUUUAUAAGCUAUCACUUAGAGAUGGGCCUGCGUACCAUUAGCUAGUUGGUAGGGUAACGGCCUACCAAGGCAAAGAUGGUUAGCUGGUCUGAGAGGAUGAUCAGCCACACUGGAACUGAGACACGGUCCAGACUCCUACGGGAGGCAGCAGUGGGGAAUAUUGCGCAAUGGGCGAAAGCCUGUCGCAGCAACGCCGCGUGAGUGAUGAAGGCCUUCGGGUCGUAAAGCUCUGUCGGAGGGAACGAAUGCUUUUGGGGUUAAUAGCCCCGGAAAGUGACGGUACCCUCAAAGGAAGCACCGGCUAACUCGGUGC